AACCAAACAUCCUCCUCGUCGUCGGCCGUGUCAUUGGCGGCGCCGGCGCCGGCGCCCCAGGAGUUCUCGACGCCGCCGGGGAGGCGGGGAGCUCGUCGUCUUCUCUCCUCCUCCUUUCUCCGUCCCCCGACCCCCGACCACCGCCACCCUUCCAUCCUCGUCAGCGCCCUCUUUGCAGUGCCGGGCCCCUUCGGCAUCCGCUGCCGACCCCGCGACCCGAGCACAUCCGCCGGCGGCGCCUCUCCGCCACCUAUCUCCGACUACUCAGUUCACGCUGGUUGCGCUUGCGCACAUCCUGACUAAGGGCACCUGAUAGGGCAACAGUGAUUAGUUCCGUGGAAAAGGACUUUUGGAUACGGUUUAGCUAAAAUGGCAAACAUGAACAUAACCACCAUCUUGGAGAAGAUGACAGGGAAAGAUAAGGACUACAGAUAUAUGGCAACUUCAAAUUUGCUUAGCGAUUGAACAAAGAGGGCUUCAAAGCUGACCAAGACAUUGAGCCAAAGUUGACUACUACCGUUCUUCAACAACUGGAAGAUACUUCAGGAGAAGUCUCUGGUUUAGCUGUUAAAUGCUUGGCUCCACUUGUCAAGAAGGUUGGUGAGGAUAGUGUGGUGGAGAUGACCAACAUUCUUUGUGAUAAGUUACUCAAUGGAAAGGACCAACAUCGAGACACUGCUAGUAUUGCUCUGAAGACAAUCAUUGCGGAAGUUACGACAACAACACUUGCUGAAAAGAUUUUGGUGUCUCUUGCCCCACAGCUAAUCAAGGGCGCCACUGCUGGAAAAAGUGCGGAAGUGAAAUGCGAGUGCCUUGAUAUAUUGGGGGAUGUACUUCAUAGAUUUGGCAACUUGAUCACAAAAGAUCAUGAUUGCAUGCUGACUGCCUUGUUAUCCCAGUUGAGCUCUAACCAAGCAAGUGUUAGGAAAAAGUCUAUUUCUUGCAUUGCAUCACUUGCUGCAUGUCUGUCUGAUGAUUUAUUAGCCAAGGCAACUUUUGAGGUUGUCCAGUUGCUUAAAAAUAGAAGUGCAAAAUCUGAAAUUGCCCGAACAAAUAUCCAGAUGAUUGGUGCUCUAAGUCGCUCGGUUGGAUACCGUUUUGGGCCACACCUUGCUGAAGUUGUUCCUUUGCUCAUAAACUAUUGUACAAGUGCAUCAGAAAAUGAUGAAGAGCUCUGUGAAUACAGCUUGCAGGCCCUCGAGAGUUUUAUGCUGAGGUGUCCAAGAGAUAUAUCUCCAUAUUGUGAGAGUAUUUUAAAUCUUGCAUUGGAAUAUAUAAGCUAUGAUCCUAAUUUCACCGAUAGUAUGGAGGAGGACACUGAUGAUGAGGCUCAGGAUGAGGAAGAUGAUGAUGAGAGCGCAAAUGAAUACACAGAUGAUGAGGAUGCAAGCUGGAAAGUCCGGAGGGCUUCAGCAAAGUGCUUAUAUGCAAUUAUAGUAUCUCGUCCUGAAAUGUUGUCUAAGAUGUAUCUGGAGGCUUGUCCAAAGUUAAUUGAAUGGUUUAGGGAAAGAGAGGAAAAUGUAAAGAUCGACAUCUUUAACACAUUUAUUGAGUUGUUACGCCAAACUGGUAACAUGACAAAAGGAUAAGGUGACAUUGAUGAGUCUAGCCCUAGAUGGUUGCUGAAACAAGAAGUACCUAAGGUUGUCAAAUCCAUCAAUAGGCAGUUGCGUGAAAAAUCAAUCAAGACAAAGGUUGGAGCAUUCUCUGUAUUGAAGGAGCUUGUUGUUGUACUGCCAGACUGUCUUGCUGAUCAUAUUGGGUCACUUGUUCCUGGGAUUGAGAACGCUUUGAAUGAUAAGUCAUCUACCUCCAACCUGAAGAUUGAAGCCCUUGUAUUUACAAGACUUGUUAUGGCUUCACAUUCCCCAGCUGUGUUUCAUCCAUACAUACAGGCUCUUUCUGGCCCAAUAUUGUCUGCUAUUGGAGACAGAUAUGACAAGGUCACCGCUGAGGCUUUAAGAGUCUGCGAAGAGCUAGUUCGUGUACUUCGUCCAAAUUCUGAGCCACACUCUCCAGAUUACAGGCCAUAUAUUGGUCCAAUCUAUAAGGCUAUCUUGGCCCGCUUGGCAAAUCAGGAUCAGGAUCAGGAUCAGGAAGUUAAAGAGUGUGCCAUAUCUUGCAUGAGCCUUGCGCUAUCCACGUUUGGUGAUGGUCUCCAAAGGGAACUGCCGGCAUGCCUUCCCGUUCUUGUUGAUAGAAUGGGUAAUGAAAUAACUAGACUUACAGCAGUUAAGGAGAUAGAACACAAUGGACAACCUUUAGGAUUAGUGAAAUCGCCAUCAUCAGUAGUAGAAUAGAAUGAGCAGUGGAUUCCUGCCCAACCUUGGGCCGAUGGGGAGAUUUAUCUGUAUUCUCCAGAUACACAUAGUUGGUCUUCUCAAGGCAUGAAGAUGAAAUUCUUUAUCAUGGAUGAAAAGUAUAAUAUGGAAGCCAAAGGGAUUUAUAAGAAGAUUGAUGAGUUGGUCAGCCUGGCUAAUCAUUCAAUGUUUCUGGCUCCAGUGUUUGCUUUGCAUGAUAAGAAGAUCGGUCGUAUUAUUCUGUGUUAUCCAAAAUUUGAUCAACUGCUUAAAGAUUGGCUGCCUGCUCAAGCCUUUUAAAGGCCGGUUUAUACCACCCAUAUGGAUGCAUCUUAUAAAAGAUGUCAUAUCUUACAUGAGCAACAUUGAUAACUUGGCUGCAAGCUUAGGAAGUAUUGACUCAUAUGUGUUGGAGACAAAGCCCGAGAGAAUAAAGGUCAUCCUUUUUCCUUUUGAGUCAAGAGAAGUAAAUUGGCGAAAAGAUUUUGCUACAUUUCUGAUAGAACAUCUUCGGAACAAAUGGAAAUCCACCAUGUUGGAUCACUUCAUCAACAUCUUACAAAAAGAUUUCAAAAUUGGGUACAUUCAACAUCAUCCGUUGUUGCAAGAUUUCAAUCAGCUUUCUAACAUGAUAAGGAUGACAUGGAAAGAAUCUAAGUAUUUAACUGUUGAGAGGAGAGUAUUGCUAUCUUCAACAUUAAAUGCUAUUAGGAACAACAUUCCAUGGACAUCAGUGACAACUAUGGAUGCUGUUGUGAAUGAAUACAUUUCUAAAGCAACAAAUGACUCCUUGGGCCUCUUUAUGGAAAUUAAGAAGAUAGCAGCACAUUACAUUGAAAACCGCCGAAAACUGAACAAAGAAAAAGGGAUAUGCAAUAGGAAACAGGUACAUCCAAUUGAGAUAAUCGAAGAAAUCUGGCCAGGUGCUAUUGAAGAAAUUUAUGAGCUUAGUUUAAAAUCUGAGUGGCUCAUGACUUGACUUGUGAAUGGUGAGAGUGAAAAUAUCAGUGCUGAAGGAUCUGGAGUACUCUGAAAAUCAUGAAUGGGUUAGUGUUGAAGGCGAUUAUGCAACAAUUGGGAUUUCAGAUCAUGCCCAGAUGCAAACACGUUCGGCAAGCUAGCGAGUUAAAUGGUGGGUUGGAAGAGCUCUACAGGAAAGAUGAGGCAGAACUAGCUCUACAGCAAAAGAUGAGGCAUAACUUGGUUGAACGUUUUUUUGUUUCUCUUUUUUUUGGGUGAGGGGAUCGCCUUUUGUUUCUAUUGCAUGCUAUGUAACGGUGGAGAGAAUCAUUAUCUUCACUAUUUGAAAAAUGAUUCUACAGAAGAUGAUUGUUUUUUAUGGCAGUGCUUGAAGGGCUCUGCUUCGUGGUAAAAAAGAACACUUGCGAAAUGUUGGAUCAUCCUUGAACCAUUUGAAACAGAUUUGUUUUUUUACUGCCUAAAAUCACUUGCAAAGUUCUUGAGCAAUUUA